rnacentral:rRNA from 1 species
AACGUAGGUGGCAAGCGUUAUCCGGAUUUACUGGGCGUAAAGCGUGCGCAGGCGGUUUUGUAAGCCAGAUGUGAAAUCCCCGGGCUUAACCUGGGAAUGGCAUUUGGGACUGCAAGGCUGGAGUGCGGCAGAGGAGACUGGAAUUCCUGGUGUAGCAGUGAAAUGCGUAGAUAUCAGGAGGAACACCGAUGGCGAAGGCAGGUCUCUGGGCUGACACUGACGCUCAUGCACGAAAGCGUGGGGAGCAAACAGG